rnacentral:tRNA from 1 species
GGUGGCUCAGUGGUAGAGCGCUUGCCUUGAAUGCAUCACGUCCUGGGUUCGAUUCCUCAGCACCA